rnacentral:rRNA from 1 species
CCUACGGGUGGCAGCAGUAGGGGAUAUUGCACAAUGGGGGAAACUCUGAUGCAGCGACGCCGCGUGAGUGAAGAAGGAUUUCGGUAUGUAAAGCUCUAUCAGCAGGGAAGAAAAUGACAGUAACUGACCAAGAACCCCCGGCUAACUACUUUCCAGCAGCCGCGGUAAUACGUAGUGGGCAAGCGUUAGCCGGAUGUACUGGGUGUAAAGGGAGCGUGGACGGUUCUGUAAGUCUGGAGUGAAAGCCCGGGGCCCAACCCCGGGAGUGUUUUGGAAACUGUGUAACUUGAGUACAGGAGGGGCAGGCGGAAUUCCUGGUGUAGCGGUGAAAUGCGUAGAUAUCAGGAGGAACACCGGCGGCGAAGGCGGCCUGCUGGACUGAAACUGACGUUGAGGCUCGAAAGCGUGGGGAGCAAACAGGAUUAGAUACCCGUGUAGUC